GACGGGGAGCACCACAACAGGUGGAGCCUGCGGUUAAUCGGACUCAACGCCGGGAAACUACACCAGAUAAGACAGCUGAAUGAUAGUCGGGCUGAAGACUCUACUGACUAGCUGAGAGGAGGUGCAUGGCCGUCGUCAGUUCGUACUGUGAAGCAUCCUGUUAAGUCAGGCAACGAGCGAGACCCACGCCAACAGUUGCCAGCUCGUCCUCCGGGAUGGUGGGGGACACUGUUGGGACCGCCUCUGCUAAAGAGGAGGAAGGAAUGGGCAACGGUAGGUCAGCAUGCCCCGAAUUAUCUGGGCUACACGCGGGCUACAAUGGGUGGGACAAUGGGUAUCGACACCGAAAGGUGAAGGCAAUCUCCUAAACCCAUCCGUAGUUCGGAUUGUGGGCUGCAACUCGCCCACAUGAAGCUGGAAUCUGUAGUAAUCGUGUCCCAAAAUGGCACGGUGAAUAUGUCCCUGCUCCUU
rnacentral:rRNA from 1 species